rnacentral:rRNA from 1 species
AUACGGAGGGGGUUAGCGUUGUUCGGAAUUACUGGGCGUAAAGCGCACGUAGGCGGACUGAUCAGUUAGAGGUGAAAUCCCAGGGCUCAACCCUGGAACUGCCUUUAAUACUGUCAGUCUAGAGAUCGAGAGAGGUGAGUGGAAUUCCAAGUGUAGAGGUGAAAUUCGUAGAUAUUUGGAGGAAUACCAGUGGCGAAGGCGGCUCACUGGCUCGAUACUGACGCUGAGGUGCGAAAGCGUGGGGAGCAAACAGGAUUAGAAACCCUAGUAGUCC